UCGAACGAAGCACCUUACCUGAUUCUUCGGAUGAAGGUCUGGUGACUGAGUGGCGGACGGGUGAGUAACGCGUGGGUAACCUGCCCUGUACAGGGGGAUAACAGUUGGAAACGGCUGCUAAUACCGCAUAAGCGCACGAGAGGACAUCCUCUUGUGUGAAAAACUCCGGUGGUACAGGAUGGGCCCGCGUCUGAUUAGCUGGUUGGCAGGGUAACGGCCUACCAAGGCGACGAUCAGUAGCCGGUCUGAGAGGAUGAACGGCCACAUUGGAACUGAGACACGGUCCAAACUCCUACGGGAGGCAGCAGUGGGGGAUAUUGCACAAUGGGGGAAACCCUGAUGCAGCAACGCCGCGUGAGUGAAGAAGUAUUUCGGUAUGUAAAGCUCUAUCAGCAGGGAAGAUAAUGACGGUACCUGACUAAGAAGCUCCGGCUAAAUACGUGCCAGCAGCCGCGGUAAUACGUAUGGAGCAAGCGUUAUCCGGAUUUACUGGGUGUAAAGGGAGUGUAGGUGGCCAUGCAAGUCAGAAGUGAAAAUCCGGGGCUCAACCCCGGAACUGCUUUUGAAACUGUAAGGCUAGAGUGCAGGAGGGGUGAGUGGAAUUCCUAGUGUAGCGGUGAAAUGCGUAGAUAUUAGGAGGAACACCAGUGGCGAAGGCGGCUCACUGGACUGUAACUGACACU
rnacentral:rRNA from 1 species